CCUAUGUUCUAGAACGCUGACAUCUCCGCAGGCAGCCAUUCUGUGUGAUCGAAGUGAACAAGUGAAAGAUCUGCAUGAGAUAGACGAUGGAGGUGAUUACAGUGGAGACUAUGCAGCCACUGUGUGUGAUCCAUGCGAUGUAAAUCACUUCAUCAGUGAUGAUUACAACACAACAGAUUUUGACAGUUGUGAUGACACACAACUGACCUUACAACAAUGGGCACUCAACAUGAUACUAUGGACAGCGUGACACAGGGCGUCUUUCCAUGUGAAUGUAACAGU
rnacentral:lncRNA from 1 species